AUGAAUACUUCUCCAGUUUUAGUGACUGCGAUGCUGCUGUUCAUGCUUGAAAGACCCACGGAGAUUCAGUGACCCAGAAACAAGGUCAAGUGACCCUUUCAGAAGAUGACUUCCUAUUUAUAAAUUGCACUUAUUCUACCACAACGUACCCAACUCUUUUCUGGUAUGUCCAAUAUCCUGGACAAGGUCCACAGCUCCUUCUGAAAGUCACAACUGCCAACAACAAGGGAAUCAGCAGAGGCUUUGAAGCUACAUAUGACAAAGGGACCACCUCCUUCCACUUACAGAAAGCCUCAGUGCAGGAGUCAGACUCAGCCGUGUACUUCUGUGCUCUGGUUGA